UACAGAGGUGGCAAGCGUUGUUCGGAAUUACUGGGCGUAAAGGGCGCGUAGGCGGCUUGGUCAGUCCCGUGUGAAAUCCCUCGGCUCAACUGAGGAACUGCACGGGAAACUGCCUGGCUUGAGUUCGGGAGAGGGAAGCGGAAUUCCGGGUGUAGCGGUGAAAUGCGUAGAUAUCCGGAGGAACACCGGUGGCGAAGGCGGGUUGCUGGGCUGACACUGACGCUGAUGCGCGAAAGCUAGGGGAGCGAACGGG
rnacentral:rRNA from 1 species